rnacentral:rRNA from 1 species
UUAUCGGAGAGUUUGAUCCUGGCUCAGGACGAACGCUGGCGGCGUGCCUAAUACAUGCAAGUCGAGCGGACAGAUGGGAGCUUGCUCCCUGAUGUUAGCGGCGGACGGGUGAGUAACACGUGGGUAACCUGCCUGUAAGACUGGGAUAACUCCGGGAAACCGGGGCUAAUACCGGAUGCUUGUUUGAACCGCAUGGUUCAAACAUAAAAGGUGGCUUCGGCUACCACUUACAGAUGGACCCGCGGCGCAUUAGCUAGUUGGUGAGG